GAUUAACGCUGGCGGCGUGCAUAACACAUGCAAGUCGAACGAUGAAGAUUAUUCGACUUCUUCGGAAUGAAAAUAAUUGGAUUAGUGGCGGACGGGUGAGUAACGCGUGAGUAACCUGCCUUACACAAGGGGAUAGCCGUUGGAAACGACGAAUAAUACCCUAUGAAACUAUCACUUCGCAUGAAGCGAUAGUCAAAGUGUUAGCGGUGUAAGAUGGACUUGCGUCUGAUUAGCUAGUUGGUGAGAAAAAAGCCCACCAAGGCAACGAUCAGUAGCCGGCUUGAGAGAGUGUACGGCCACAUUGGGACUGAGACACGGCCCAGACUCCUACGGGAGGCAGCAGUGGGGAAUUUUGCACAAUGGGGGAAACCCUGAUGCAGCGACGCCGCGUGAUUUAGAAGGCCUUCGGGUUGUAAAAAUCUUUUGUAUAGGAAGAAAAUGACAGUACUAUACGAAUAAGGUCCGGCUAAUUACGUG
rnacentral:rRNA from 1 species